rnacentral:rRNA from 1 species
GACGAACGCUGGCGGCGUGCUUAACACAUGCAAGUCGAACGGAAAGGCCCUGCUUUUGUGGGGUGCUCGAGUGGCGAACGGGUGAGUAACACGUGAGUAACCUGCCCUUGACUUUGGGAUAACUUCAGGAAACUGGGGCUAAUACCGGAUAGGAGCUCCUGCUGCAUGGUGGGGGUUGGAAAGUUUCGGCGGUUGGGGAUGGACUCGCGGCUUAUCAGCUUGUUGGUGGGGUAGUGGCUUACCAAGGCUUUGACGGGUAGCCGGCCUGAGAGGGUGACCGGCCAAGUGGGGUCUGAGGUACGCCCGGGCCCCCAAGGGGGGCAAGAAGGGGGGAAGCUGCCACAGGGGGGGGAGGCGGAAGGCAGAACCCCCGUGUGGGGGAGGACGGCUUCCGGUUGGUAACCCGCUGUCGCCGGGAACGAAGGGGGAGGGGGGGAAGGGGAUAAAGAAACCCCGCCAACCUAGGUG